GACGAACGCUGGCGGCGUGCUUAACACAUGCAAGUCGAACGGAAAGGCCCUGCUUUUGUGGGGUGCUCGAGUGGCGAACGGGUGAGUAACACGUGAGUAACCUGCCCCUGACUUUGGGAUAACUUCAGGAAACUGGGGCUAAUACCGGAUAGGAGCUCCUGCUGCAUGGUGGGGGUUGGAAAGUUUCGGCGGUUGGGGAUGGAUUCGCGGCUUAUCAGCUUGUUGGUGGGGUAGUGGAUUACCAAGGCUUUGACGGGUAGCCGGCCUGAGAGGGUGACCGGCCACAUUGGGACUGAGGUACGGCCCAGACUGCUACGGGAGGCAGAAGUGGGGAAUAUUGCACAAUGGGCGGAAGCCUGAUGCAGCAACGCCGCGUGCGGGAUGACGGCCUUCGGGUUGUAAACCGCUUUCGCCUGUGACGAAGCGUGAGUGACGGUAAUGGGUAAAGAAGCACCGGCUAACUACGUG
rnacentral:rRNA from 1 species